GUUGUUGUUGUUGCUUCAGGUUACUGACUUGGAAAUGGAGUUGGAGACUGAAACCAAAAGCAGGAGUGACGCCCAGAGGAAUUUUAAGAGAGUGAUCGUUGCUAUAAGGAAGCUGUAUCCCAGCGUCUCCAAGAUCAAGUCAAUUCUCUCAAUGCCAAGGACAGGAACCUUCGCCGUGACAA